rnacentral:tRNA from 12 species
GGGGACGUAGCUCAGCUGGGAGAGCGCGGCGUUCGCAAUGCCGAGGUCGGGAGUUCGAUCCUCCUCGUCUCCACCA